rnacentral:pre_miRNA from 12 species
UGAGCGUCGUUGUAUGGAAGACUAGUGAUUUUGUUGUUCUACUUAAGAUGUAACAAGGAAUCACUAAUCAUCCUACAAAGACGCUCG